AUGGUCGUUUAGCAAUUAAGGGCUUUUGCGAUUCCACCUGGUCUCUAUCUGUAUUUGCUGGUGGCCGUAUAACAAUAGUUGGCUUUUGUGAUUCGACAUGGCCCUUAUCUGUAUCUGUGGGAGGCCGUAUCACAAUAGGUGGCUUCUGAGAUUCAACAGGUGCAUUUUCAGGUUUCAUCUUGUUCGAUAUUAUUAUCUUGUUCACCUUAAAAGUGGGCUUCCCAGUUUCCGGAUCAGAUGCCACCGGACGUUCAGAGCUCUCUGUCUCUCCAAGAGCCUGUUUAUCAGGAAGCUUUUCAGUUGACCCACAUUUGAAUUUCAAUGGAAGAACCUUUGUACUCAGACCAACGUCAACAUCGGAAGCUUCAACCACGGCAAUUUUAGUUGCACUUUUAGGUACCAGCUUCUUUGUCGUAGUUUUCUGCUGAGCCUGAUUAGAUGGAUUCAGAGCAGUGAUCUUUCCAUCUGCUUUAUCCAGAUCUGGAGUGUCGCUGUGUGUUUCCUGAUCUUCACCAUACUUGGGGCAGUUCUUGUUUGUUCUCAUGUGUCCAGCCUAGGUCAUCAAAAAGGUAAACAAUCAGUAUUAAAUUAUUAGUCACACUAUUAGCAGAAUAUUACCAAAACUCUAAACUAAACUUAUCUGAGUUAUAUACCUGAUGACAUGCUCCACUCUCUCUCUCUCUCUCUCUCUCUGUAUUUCUGUGAUUGCAACAAGCAUCUCAUAUUAUGAAAAUAAAUAUAUAAACACAAGGGAUAGCCAAAAAGUUCCUGGAAAAUAUUCAAACAUCAUGCUCUCUGAAAAAAAAAAUUUGAGUCCAUAUCACAAGAAUACUAUAACUGGUAAAACCUGGAGAACUUGGCGGGGUUGGAGAAACAGGAGGAGAUGGAGUGGCUGGAAGAGGUUUCAGAAGAGGGUUAUUUUUGUAACUGCAAAAUGAGGAAUAAUGUCAGUGAGUACAUCAUUUACAUAAGCCUUCCAAAAGAAAAGGAAUAAAAUAGCCUCUACCAACCUGAUAGGAGUAAAAAGUGAAAAAGAACCAUUGACUGGAAUAUCUCCAGUCAGAUUGUUACUUGAAAGAUCCCUGCAUUCCAUGUAAAAAAAACUUUGUUAUUUGCAUUCUAUGAUGGUAGAGAAACUAGUAACUCUUCUCUCUCUCUCUCUCUCUCUCUCUCUCUCUCUCUCUCUCUCUCUCUCUCUCUCUCUCUCUCUCUCUCUCAUUGAGAUGAGAAGGGUACAAAACUCACAGGACUUGCAACGAUUGAAUCUUAGUCAAAGCCAUGGGAAUAUCCCCCGUCAAGGUGUUGUUGUUGAGACGCCUAUUUCAUGGAACAGAAACCGUUAUAUCCCCAAUAAUUCCAAUGACAACAUAUAUUGUAUUUCUAACACAUCACUAUUCAAUUUUUUCCAAGGGGAGAUGAUAAAUAGACUGAAACGAAGUUUUAUGGUUUUUUUUUUCUUCACAUGUUUCUUGUCACAUUCAAACACUAGAAGAAUGUGCAAGUCAUGCGUGCACAUAGUGUCGAAACAGACUACACAUUCUGCAGGAUCCUUCACUGGUUAGAUAAUAUGAAUCUAGUAAUUGUUACUGCUUGAGAUACCAAGGAUUAAAGCACAGCAUUUCUGGGAAAUCAAUAGAUUCUCUUUUUAACAUACUCAGUAUUCAGGAAAAUAAAUAAAUCUCCCGAACUUCUGCAUGCCCAGCAAAGUGAAAGUUGUUGAGAAGCCAAAAAGAGAGCAUGAUAAUUUUCUUAUGAUAACCUAAGAGAGAUCACAAGGAUGGCUCGAAAACUAAAUUGGAAAUUAUAAUACUCCAAUUAAAACUCAAUGUUAUACAACUAUUUGCAAUAUAAAAGAUUGAGAUCAGAUAGAAACACAAACUGGAAUACUCUUAUUAAAUAUAAGCUUAUCAUCAUCCUUCAGACUAAAACUUCAUGAACUCAAUUACUAGCACAAGAAGUCUCUUUUAGAUAGUUGAUGGCAUUAUUUUAAGACUUCUUCUGCAUCAACAUUUCCGGGGAUAGAGAACUAAGAAACAAAACACUCAAAAAGAGCUAAAGAAAUUUAUGACAGGGCCUCUUCAAGCUAUUAUGUGCCAUGAUUAACUGGCAACCUGGGGUUUCAUAAUCAUCAAGGUACAAAACGGAACGGCAAAAAGCUAUGGGAACUUAUAAUUUUCUUCCUUUCCUAUUAGGACAUUCUUUAGAAUAUUUACACCACUGCUUUUAGCUUAAUGCUUCUGGCAUUUAGAGUUCCAAUAACAUCCAUAUUAGCUUUACCGAGUGAACUAUUACCUUCUUUAGAAUCUUGAUACCAGGCAUCUUGCCUUAAGGGUUCCAAUUACUUAUUUGUUUAUGUUUUUUGUCCUUUUGCGUAUUGUUGACCUGUUGUAUAUUAUUUUCCUUAUGCUAAUUUGUUUAACCUCCACCUUGAUGCCUUAACUAUAGUGGCACAAUAUUGGUAGAUCAUAGUCAACCUAAGUAAUCUUUUGGGUUCAACCUAGAUGCUAUCAUGCACUCUAAGGAUGAAUGUUACUGAAGGAAUAAUUGAAAACAUUAAAUUAGCAUAUCAAAUAAAACAAACAAAUACAAGAUAUAUUUAUUUUCUUUAAACCACAACCUAAAUCCUCUAAAUCCAAAAGGAAAACCAUAUUUGUUAGUGGACAAGUCACAUAAUAGACUGUACGGGAUGCAUUCAGAGAAAGCAUAAUCAAUCAGAACAUAAAUAAAUGAAUCCACCAACUAAAGAAUGAAGACAAUUUGUUAAGAAAAAACAAAGAACGUAGACAAAGGAUGCGGAUUCAUACAGGAAACGUAGUUUUUCUAGCUUGCCAAGUGUGUCGGGAAUGGUACCACGUAAACCGUUCAAGUAAAGAUCCAAGCUGACCAAGUUUGUCAAAGUUCCAAGCUCUGCUGGAAUGUUUCCAGUUAUGUUAUUACUAUAAAGUUCCCUGUCAAUGGAAGUAGUGAAUCGAUGGAUCAGUUUUUCACUUUUUAAGGUAAGAUUCCAAUUUCAAUUUGGAUGCAUAUUGAUGGAACUUUAGAUAAUACAAGGACAAACAAGUAUACUAAAAAACACACUUACAAGUACUGCAAGUUGGAGAGAACACCAAGUUGUGACACCAAUUGACCAGAGAGAUUGGCAUUGCCAAGAUCACUGAAUGAGCGCAAAUGUUAAAAACAAGAAAAGCAUAUCAUUAGUCUUUUUUCUAUUUUUCCCCCCUCCUUUUUGGGUAUUUCUCUUUUUCUGGGUUUGCUUAAUAAACAGAAGGAAAUGAAUUGAAUGAAUGUACUGAAAGAAACAAGUGAAAUGAAGUGUUUUAGCAGCUUACACUCGCGUGACGCUGUUUUCGCUAUUACAAGUGACAUGAAACCAUGUACAGGGGUUGACGAGAGUGGGAUCCCAACUUUGGAGAACAUUGUUAGGAUCAACUAAAUUGCUCUUCAACGCAUUCAAUGCGUCACCUGUCUCCAAGGAAAUCAAAUCAGUCAUUCAUUCAUCCAAAUUCCCGUAACCAAACACACACAACACACGAAGAAAAGACCUUCAACGUUGCCAGAGAGCUUAAGGAGUUGAAGGAAACCAAACAGCAGAAAUAGCCAAACAGAAGCAGAGCCCGAGGUGGUGGACAUCACUGCGUCUAUUUCCCUCACAAAUUCCAGGAGCUCAGCUCAGUAGCCUCAGCCUCUUCAUAAACGAAUCCCUAAUUCUGAUUCUAAUUCAAAGUCUAAUAAUUGGAAAAGCAGCUGGCGUUGACCGAUCAAAAUCUGGAGCAUCUCUGGGUUUGACGUCGUUGACCCAAAGUCUAGAAAAUUCGGAUGCUUUUGCUUUUGCUAUUGCUUUUGCUUUUGCUUUGGGCGUGAGAUUGAAAUUGUAGAUUUCGUUUGGCAAAGCAUACGCUGGAGAGCAGACAAAGACAAAGACAGACAGAGAGAGAGAGAGAGAGAAAGAGAGAAAGAGGGAUAUCAAUGGAGGACUUUGUCUUUGAGCUUGAAAUGAAAACAGAGUUUAGUUUAGUUUUGGGGAAGAAAGGGAAAAAAAAAAAGAAAAGUAAAAGCUGGUGGGUUGGUUUGCUUGGGUUUGGGUUUGGCAGGAGCGGCGGAUGGCUCUUCUUCUUAGUCAAAGUUGCAGCCCACCACGUUAGAAAUUUCCUUCUUCUUUUUUUAUUUAUAUUUUAUUUCUUCAUUUCUAUUAUGUUUUUCUAAUGUUUAUAAUUAUUUUAUUCAUUUGUUUUUGGGCCUUGACUGAGGCUUGCUAUUGGACUUGAUGAGAAUAACUACGCCCAGUUGAGAGUGAGAACGUGGCGAAAUUCUAUAGUGAGGGUGUCAGAUAGCGAACUUUUUAUAUGGACCUUUUAUAUUAGUUACAUGAUAAUUUCAUUAAACUUAAGUGAAGUUAUUAUUCAGAUGAAUCAUGUGACUAAUAUGAAUGUCCACAUCUAUAGUCCAUAUAUGGCACCCUCACCAUAGAACGACUUUGAGAACGUGUUGCCUGGAGUCAAAAGUCUGACGAUCAAGAAAGGUCCUAAGUUCAAUUUUCCAUUUCUUCAAUAUCGCUUUUUGUAUAAAAUAAUAGAGUAUGGAGAUCAAGUAAAAGAAAUAUGGGGAUCAAGCAUUAUUUGACUACAAGAGCAUAAAGCAGUGCAGUCAGUUUUGAAGUACUUCAUACUCCAAUCAAUUCAAAUCGACUCUAGAAUGGAUUCCUAAUCUAAUUAAGUCAUUCAAGCACUAUAUAAGACGAUCAAAUUUAGAACCAUAGAUACGACUUUUUCAACACAAGUCAACUCAAAUUUUAGAAUAUUUCUUUUAGAUCACAAAUCGGUUCCCUAGAGGUUUCAAGCCUGCUUAAGGCUUCUUGAUUCAGAACUCGGCAUGACCCAAUCAAAAUUUCUUCCUACUAGUUUGAGGUGAUUUUUUUUUUACUUUCUUAAGUGAUAUCUAGCAGUAUAUGAAUGGUUUUUAUCAUUUCAUAGAUAAUUUAAGUCCUUAUUGCUUUUAAGGCAUGGGAAAUAACCAAUAUCUAGCUAGAUCUCUACCUAAUGCACAUUGGCUUGGUUAGAAAUCAGUUACUUGAGGCACAAUCAAUCACAAAUUAUAUAUUCUAUUGAGUUCUUUUGCAAUUUCAAUAGUGGCAUGCUCACAUAAUUUCAAAGCUAAGUUAACCAGAGCUUGCUUCGAUCGAUUUCUAAGGCUAGGUAGUUGUUUAGCAAACAUCUUUUUCUGGCACACCCAAUGGAUCGAGCUUUAUUUUAUCGGUGUUUGAGUUUCCAGUAGUAUUAAGCCUAAAACACCCCGAAAGUGUUGAAUUUGAGAGAGUGCUAUGGUUAUCUUCAAUGGCUCAUUGGGACAUUAUUGGCAAGAAAAACGUCAUCUCUAUAGAGAGUUCCGAUAGAGAAGAACAAUGGGACAAAACCUAAGUACGUUGGGGUUGAUGUGUUGAUUCUUCUAUGUCACAUAAUUGACGGGAAGGUUGGAAGGAUAUUUUUUGAGUUUGAACUUGGUGCUGAGAUUGUGAAUAAUAUUUUAACGUUACUCUAAUUAGGAUUGAAUCGAGAUUAAACUCGGGUUGGCACCAGAGGCUAGUAUUGUGGGAGCUAAGGAUCCACAAGUCUAGCAAGAGAAAAAGUAUGCAUGAAAUUCCUUGUACUUCGAUUGUGCUUGGACUUUUGGACAGUGAUUCUCACCUGAAUGUUGGGCACCGUGUUUUAUAGGGGCUGAAGGCAGGACUAAUGAUACGAGAGGAACUGGAGCUGAGGAACUAACAGAACCAAUAAUCGAGUUUGAGGAUCAAAAUGUAAAUCAUGCCAAAAUUUUGUUUUUCUUUGUUGUUCAAUACGUCAUGCCUAAGUUGAAGGACCAUAUCUCCUAAAAAUUAUACAACUCGCUUGUGUGCAUGUGAACUUUCAUUUGCGGAUUCAAUCGGUAUAUGUUGCUAGUACUCAUUCAAUAGGUAAUUAACUGCAACGUUGGAAAGGAUUUGAUAUAGGAAACCAAACACCAAUACUGGAAUGGAAUGUCAGAUGCAUGAAAUGAAGAUGAAAUAACAUCCAGCACAAAAAAUCUUUUGAUCCUCCUGCUCAGAUCGGUGACUUAGCAAGAUGAAAUUUUGAUUGAAAAACUGAUAUGUCAAUGAAACCUUUUAUUUUUUAUUUUUUAUUACUUAAUACAAGCAGAUAUUGGGGGAGGGGGGAAUCAAACCUAGGACAUUGAGUGCAGGCUAAAUGCUCUUAAGCACUUGAGAUACACGCCCCUUGUGUCAAUAAAACUUUUUAAACAUUGCAGUCACUGUACAACUAACACAAUUUUAAAACGGAUGUUAUUCAGUAACUCAAACACAAAUUACAGCAGAUGAUCACAAAUUUACAGGAGAUGCGGCUAUUUUCUUUCAUUGAUGCUUCCUGACAUGUCAGAUGAAGCCGACGCAGUCUCUUUAAUCCACAAUACCUAAAAACUUACUCCGGCAAAAGUAGGCAUUCUUCUUUGAAAAAAUAAAGUUACGGAUAUUAAAUCAGUAUCAACAUCUCUAAAAAUCUGCAGAUUCAAUGCCUGCUUCAGCUUCAGUCAAGCUUUCGUCAUUCUCAACCAACAUAUAGUCACAAAGCUCUAAGAGCUGAUCUGCGAGAGGAGGUAUACCUGGAUUACGCCCAUCAUUAUAUUUGUGAGCAUUAUAAGUUAUCUGCCACACAUCGUGCCUGAAUUGCUCCCUGCUCUUGUACUCCAUUUUCCUCACCUUCUCCCUGAUUGUAGACAGAUCCAUGGGGCGCUCUAUGAUGUCCAGGUAAUCAGGAGCUUCCUUUUUGGAUACUGGUUUAAGAAAAAGAUACGAUACUUCAAUUCGAUCUUUGAGGGUUUCUAUAAUACGCUCCAAGAUGUUUGCCAGACCAACCUGUAGAAAAAGUAUGAAGAUAAAUAAGAAUGCUUUGUACACAGGAUAUUUGUUAUUAUACAAGCCUCUUGGAGGUCGAUGUGAAUAUUUUUAUACCAUCUGUGAACAUUGCAAUCAAUUUAUAAUGACACACUGUAAUUUCUUACAACAAAGAAAUUACAAAAGUCAUUGGCACCUUUGGCUGUGCAUUAAUUCAUUGCUUGGUGUAUGAGAGUUUAGCUUGCACAAUUUCAGAAAAGAACAAUGGGCCCUUCUCUUCCGCGUUUUGUUUUAUUUUCUUACAUAUUAGAACAAGCAUUACCUCAUCCCAUUCCUAUUCUGGGUUUGUAGGUAUUCACUAAACAAUUACUGAACAGCACUAAAAUGCAGUAUUGAGACCAGUUAAAUAAAUCAACUCCAAGAAAGAUACGGAAAAAAACAAAAAGGAUGUUUGUCUUAGCACAUAAAUUUAACAGCAUUUCUCACCAACGACCCAUAAAAACUACAUAAAUAAACUCCCCCAAAAAGUGAUUCGUAAUUGCUUCCACUAUCUUUAGUGUUUUAUUUGAGAUGAAUAUGUUUACUGUUUUAUAAGUACAGAGAAAUACUAAGUCACACCACAAACAAAACUCUACCAAAUAAAUUUUGAUUAAAAGUCAGUGUGAUCCCACUGGAAAACAAGUAAUAAUUCUAAAAGAACAGUUGCAAUUCGUAGUGGGUAGACUGGGUUUGUCCAUUUCAACUGAUCAAUUCCUAAAUUUUAUCCUGGUGUAGGCUGUGAACUACCACAUAUUGUAGAAUGAAUCCGCCACCAGUUGUAAUAAAGGUGGCAUGUGCGGGGAAAAUCUGAAUGAACGAAAAUAACUUGAAGAUAAGCAUGAACAUAUUACCUCUCCCCCUCUACGACGCUUUGUUAUUGGGGCAGAUUCUCCACCAUACCUUCCCAAUUCAACAACUGGCCUCCUUUUUGCACCCCGAUCUCUUUCUUGCAUCCUUUUGUCAAAUCUUCUUGCUCGUGAGUCCUCUAUAUAAUCCUCUCUUAUCUCAGGCCUUUUCUUCUUCUGUUUGUUCUUCUUCGCUUUCUGGCGUUCUUCUUCUUCCCUCUCUUGUCUGAUGACUGCUUCAUAUCUUCUAAUCUCUGCUAGUCUUUCUUGCUCCUCUAUCAUUCUCAUUUCCUCUUCGUAAAGCCUCCUGGCCCUCUCUUCUUUCAAUCUCUCUUCAUUUCUCCGUUUCUCUUGCUCCUCCCUUGAUCUCUUAUCAUCUCUAGCUUUCUUUUUUGCAGCUUCCUUAGCCAAAUACAUGUUCUCUUCCUUCCUGUUCUUUUCAGAACUUGUCAAUUCAACAAUUCUUUUAGUUUUCCUAUGUUCAACAGGAGUACUCCCAUCCUGACUGACCUGAUCUAUAUCAAUAAUUUCUUUUGGACGUUUAAUUAUAAUUUUCUUAUGAUGUUGCUCUCUCUGUGCCUCCAUUGAUGGUCGUUUAGCAAUUAAGGGCUUUUGCGAUUCCACCUGGUCUCUAUCUGUAUUUGCUGGUGGCCGUAUAACAAUAGUUGGCUUUUGUGAUUCGACAUGGCCCUUAUCUGUAUCUGUGGGAGGCCGUAUCACAAUAGGUGGCUUCUGAGAUUCAACAGGUGCAUUUUCAGGUUUCAUCUUGUUCGAUAUUAUUAUCUUGUUCACCUUAAAAGUGGGCUUCCCAGUUUCCGGAUCAGAUGCCACCGGACGUU
rnacentral:lncRNA from 1 species